UUCUCUCUGCAGAGCCACUCUCAAGAAUGGACAGGAAGCUUGUCUCAACCCUGAGGCCCCCUUGGUCAAGAAAAUCAUCCAUAAGAUGCUGAACAAAGGCAGCAACUGACAUGGAGAGAAGGAGGAAGCUUGUCUGUUACUGUUUCUGAAGAAGAUUCUAAAAGGAAUUGGAGUCAAGAGAGAGAAACAAAUAGUACCUCAGGGGCAUCUGGACUAUGCCUGGUGUGUUUGACUAUUUUCUAUGAGAGUUCUUCUAUUUAUUUACAUAUUUAUUUAUUUGUUUAUUUAUUUUCAUGCAUAUAUAUUAAUGUUUGUUCUGCUAUUUAAAGAUAUGAAUAUGUUUGGUAAUUCACUGUACUGGUUUUUUUAAAGGUAAUUUUUUAAAAUGUUAAAGUUGUUUCAGUCCAGUUGUUUGGUUUAAAUCAGUAAGCUUUUUGGCCACUGUAAUGGAUGCUGGGGAUAAAUAGUGGGAGAUCAAAGACAGUCAGAUCACUGAUAAAGUGUGGGAAUGUGUGUAUGUCUAUUUUUGUAGAAGAAUGUCAGCUGUUAUUUAUUGUAACACUUUCACAUUUCUGUAUGUGAUCAACAUUUCUGAUGUUGAUGCUUUAAGAACUCUAAUGUUCUAAUUAUCCCUUGGACAUUUAUGUCUUCUUAUGUAAGGCACAAUGCCUUUAUUUAGCAUUGAUUAUGCAAUGUGUCUCUAGUCUUGGAGUAGAGAUGUUUAUAUAUUGAUGUAUUUUUACAAAUAAUAUGAAAAUAAAGCUUUUACAAAAAUUC